AUUCCAUGAUGAGGACACUCGGCGAUGUAGUCCUGGAAACAAUCCCAAGCUUCCGGGACUGACUUGUCAUAUUGUUGCUGGAAAGAUGAUAUCUUCGCCCGUAGAGC